rnacentral:rRNA from 1 species
AUACGUAGGUGGCGAGCGUUAUCCGGAAUUACUGGGCGUAAAGGGUGCGUAGGUGGUUUCUUAAGUCAGGAGUGAAAGGCUACGGCUCAACCGUAGUAAGCUCUUGAAACUGGGAAACUUGAGUGCAGGAGAGGAAAGUGGAAUUCCUAGUGUAGCGGUGAAAUGCGUAGAUAUUAGGAGGAACACCAGUAGCGAAGGCGGCUUUCUGGACUGUAACUGACACUGAGGCACGAAAGCGUGGGGAGC